rnacentral:rRNA from 1 species
GGGGAAUUUUGGACAAUGGGGGAAACCCUGAUCCAGCCAUCCCGCGUGUGCGAUGAAGGCCUUCGGGUUGUAAAGCACUUUUGGCAGGGAAGAAACGGCUCGGGCCAAUACCCCGAGCUAAUGACGGUACCUGCAGAAUAAGCACCGGCUAACUACGUGCCAGCAGCCGCGGUAAUACGUAGGGUGCAAGCGUUAAUCGGAAUUACUGGGCGUAAAGCGUGCGCAGGCGGUUCGGAAAGAAAGGUGUGAAAUCCCAGGGCUUAACCUUGGAACUGCACUUUUAACUACCGGGCUAGAGUACGUCAGAGGGGGGUAGAAUUCCACGUGUAGCAGUGAAAUGCGUAGAGAUGUGGAGGAAUACCGAUGGCGAAGGCAGCCCCCUGGGAUGAUACUGACGCUCAUGCACGAAAGCGUGGGGAGCAAAC